rnacentral:rRNA from 1 species
UACGAGGGGGGCUAAUGUUGUUCGGAAUUACUGGGCGUAAAGGGCGCGUAGGCGGUUCGCUAAGUUGAAUGUGAAAACUCUGGGCUUAACCCAGAGCCUGCAUUCAAUACUGGCGGGCUAGAGUUCUGGAGGGGAUAGCGGAAUUCCUGGUGUAGCGGUGAAAUGCGUAGAUAUCAGGAGGAACACCGGUGGCGAAGGCGGCUAUCUGGACAGAGUCUGACGCUGAGGCGCGAAAGCUAGGGGAGCAAACAGG